CCCAGUUGCUACGCAAGGAUUGAUGCUAGUGCUGGUCUUUCACAUGAAAACCUACACGUGGUUUCCUGGGUUCAUUUUCUCCGUGCCUAGCAGGUUAUUGUGAUUUUCCCAGGGGUUGUUCCAGUGAUGAAAUAAAAAGAGAUUUACAGCUGGUUCCUUUCCUGGAAUGAAAAGAUUAGAAUCACUGGAGCUGCGUGUGCGUCGUCCAGCGAGGAGAACUAGUUUGUCCAGUUGCUGCCUUUCCCAAGAGCGCUACUGAGUUUAGAGCUCCUGGCUGCAAGAAAUCAUGGAUACGAAAGCUGAUGAGAGGAAUUUCAGAGCAAUUUUACAGGUGCUCUGACAGCUCAGCAUAUUUUCUUGCUUUAGGACUUGAACUGAAAACUUAUAUACCUGCAGGUGACCAGAGAUAAACCUGUGACACUAAACUUGUAAUUUUCACUUCAGCAUCGCAGAAUCACAGACUGGUUGAGCUCAGAAGAGACCUGUGGAGAUCAUCUGGUCUAACCUACUCAAGCAGGCUCCAUAGAGCUCAAUAUCCAGGAUUGUGUCCAGGAGGCUUUUGAAUAUCUCCAGGGAACGAGACUCCACAUUCUCUUUGGGCAGCCUGUUCCAGUGCUCCAUCACCCUCACAGUAUUUUUUCUUCAUGUUCGGUCAGAUCUUCCUGUGUUUCAGUUUGUGCUGCUUGCUUCUCAUCCUAUCACUGGGUAUCACUGAGAAGAAACUGACCUCAUCCUCAUUACACCCUCCAGAUACUUCUAUACAUCGACCAGAUACUUCCCAGCCUUCUCUUCUCCAUAAUGAUUGUGCCCAGCUCCCUCAGUCUCUCCUUGUAGGAGAGAUGCUCCAGGUCCUCAGUCAGUUCUGUAACCCUUCACUGGACUCUCUCCAAUGAUUCCAUAUCUCUGUAGAACUGGGGAGCCCAGAACUAGACCCAGUCCUCCAGAUGAGGCCUCCACAGAGGGUGAAGAUUACCUCCCUUAAUCUGCUGGCAAUGCUCUUCCUAAUGCACCCCUGGGUACCAUUGGCCUUUUUGGCUACAAGGACA